UGCCAGCCGCCGCGGUAAUACGAAGGGUGCUAGCGUUGUUCGGAAUUACUGGGCGUAAAGCGUCACUAGGUGGUUUGAUAAGUCAAUUGUCAAAUCUCAGGGCUCAACCCUGAGACUGCAAUCGAAACUGUCAGACUAGAGAAUGGGAGAGGUUAGCGGAAUGGCUGGUGUAGCAGUAAAAUGCGUUAAUAUCAGUUGGAACACCAAAGGCGAAGGCAGCUAACUGGAACAUUUCUGACACUCACUGACGAAAGCGUGGGUAGCGAACGGGAUUAGAUA
rnacentral:rRNA from 1 species